UCUCUAGUUGGAGAUAAAGGUUUCAAAGUAUCAAAAUCGAGUCCUUGUAUAUGGCAUUGAGGGAGGCUUUCCUGUGUUUUUUGAUAUUGACGGGCGUGGCAAAGAAAUUUUUCCCACAGUUUAUGCCCUCUGGAAGGUCCCUGAUCUCUUGCCUUCUUUCAUGCUGAAAGGGGGCGAGGUUUCUCGAUAUGUUAUUGGAGGGGCAGAUUUGAUGUUUCCCGGUAUCAGCAUACCUGCUGAAGGUUUACCAUCGUUUAUAGCUGGGGAAGCAUGGGCGGUUAAAGUUCCAGGAAAUCCAGCUCCCAUUGCUGUAAGCUUCUGUGCAAAUAGUGGGAACUACUACUAUGAGUUGCACUGAAGCAUUAAAAGCUGGAUUGCGUGGAAAAGCCUUAAAAAUUGCUCACUAUUAUGGUGACUUACUUUGGCAA